rnacentral:lncRNA from 1 species
AGGAACCAGGGGAGGUCAAUGAGCUGGUGGAAGAUUCAACUGGAACCACAGAGACGAGCGAGCUGGGCCUAGAGGCAUGGAAGAUCGGGGCCAUUUCUGCUGCAGUCUUCCUGGUUCUGGAGACUACCUUCAUCAUUAUCUAUAUCCUCAAAUGUCGCAACAAAAAAAAUACCGCAGCUACUCAGCGGUCAUGUGAGGAAGGGUGUGUUGAACCAGAGGCCGCCACAGGAGGCGACUGCAAUGACGACACGCUGCCUGCAGGCAACGGAGACACUCAACAGAU